CGUGUGUGUGUAUGUGUGUGUGUGUGUAUGUGUGUAUAUAUAUAUAUAUAUAUACACACACACACACACACACACACACACAUACAUACACACAC
rnacentral:miRNA from 11 species